rnacentral:tRNA from 1 species
GCCCCCGUAGCUCAGUUGGAUAGAGCGUCGGUUUCCUAAACCGUAGGUCGCACGUUCGAGUCGUGCCGGGGGCGCCA